GGAAACAAAAAAAUAGAGAAAAACACAUAAAGAAAAUUGGAGGGAAAACGCAGAGGAGGAGCAGCUGAAAAUUUUCCAUUCUCUCUAGUCGGCCUCUCUUCCUCAUAACAGCAGCUCAAAACCCUUCUUCCCCCUGUAAAAACCAUCUCUAAAAGUUUCAGAACCCACCUGAAAUCCAGCCUUAAAGCUCAACGAAACAACCUUAAACCACCGAAAAUAUCACCCCAAACCAAUGCGAAAAAUCAACUCGAAAUCACCAUCCAAAUCUGAUCGAGCUGAGUCAUUCGGAGUUGCGAUUCCGGUUCGAGUUUAUGGUCCGUAGCUCGCUUGAGAACUGCUGUUUUUGGAUAUUCUUUUGCACUGUACAUGUUGGAAAAUUUUCAGCAAUUAAGAUUCGAACUGUCCUGAUGUGGAUUUGUACGGGAAAGGCUUACUAGUGGAUUGAUUUAGCUUGUUUGAGAUCUAGGUAUCUCAGAGCGUGCCGGACACUAGCUAGUUGCUUUUGAGCUGCUGAGGAGACUUCAAGGUAUACCUGUCAUCCCGUUCGCAGACCUCAAAAUCACCUUCUGAUGUUAUCUUUACUAUUGUUUAUUUUCAUUCUAGAACAAUGUUGUAUUUAGAAAUUUCUAGUGUAUUCAGUAGAGAAUCGAUUUUGGGGAUGUAUGACUAUGAUCAGUUUCAGCUUU